GGAGAUGUAGCUCAGUUGGUAGAGUGCCUGCCUCACUUGCACAAGGCCCUGGGUUCAAUCCCCAGCACCACCA
rfam:Ictidomys tridecemlineatus contig024777, whole genome shotgun sequence.